rnacentral:rRNA from 1 species
GACGAACGCUGGCGGCGUGCUUAACACAUGCAAGUCGAACGAAGUGGCGAACGGGUGAGUAACGAGUAAGCAACCUGCCCUUCAGAGGGGGACAAAAGUUGGAAACGACUGCUAAUCCCGCAUACUGAAGGAGGGGAUUGCGUCGGAUUGGCUAGUUGGAGGGGUAACGGCCAACCAAGGCGAUGAUCAGUAGGCGGGCUUGUAGGAUGAACGGCCACAUUGGGACUGAGACACGGCCCAGACUCCUACGGGAGGCAGCAGUGGGGAAUCUUCUGAAAUGGACGGAAGUCUGACGGAGCAACGCCGCGUGAGUGAUGAAGGCCUUCGGGUUGUAAAGCUCUGUUAAUCGGGACGCGGUACCGGAAUAGAAAGCCACGGCUAACUACGUGCCAGCCGCCGCGGUAAUAC